rnacentral:rRNA from 1 species
CGGGUGAGUAAUGUAUGGGGAUCUGCCUGAUGGCGGGGGAUAACUACUGGAAACGGUAGCUAAUACCGCAUAAUGUCUACGGACCAAAGCGGGGGACCUUCGGGCCUCGCGCCAUCAGAUGAACCCAUAUGGGAUUAGCUAGUAGGUAAGGUAACGGCUUACCUAGGCGACGAUCCCUAGCUGGUCUGAGAGGAUGAUCAGCCACACUGGGACUGAGACACGGCCCAG